CCAUGCCUACGGGACGCAGCAGUGAGGAAUAUUGGUCAAUGGGCGGGAGCCUGAACCAGCCAAGUCGCGCGAGGGAAGACGGUCCUACGGAUUGUAAACCUCUUUUGCCGGGGAGCAACGGGGUCCUUGCGAGGGCCCGAUGAGAGUACCCGGAGAAAAAGCAUCGGCUAACUCCGUGCCAGCAGCCGCGGUAAUACGGAGGAUGCGAGCGUUAUCCGGAUUUAUUGGGUUUAAAGGGCGCGUAGGCGGGCUGUUAAGUCAGCGGUCAAAUGUCGGGGCUCAACCCCGGCCUGCCGUU
rnacentral:rRNA from 1 species